AAAGGAACGCAAGGCAAUAUAACCCGAAAAUGUGCUUUUCGAGGAGAGGAAGAAGAAGGUCUGCUGUACGCGCCUGGCAUCGCUGAAUAAUCGAUCAACAGCAAAAGAGUGACAACUGCAGCACUUUUCGAUGUCACGGAAAACAGGCGUCCCAAGACCCUUAAUAACGCCGCCAUUUUGUGUAUGAUCGCAAC
rnacentral:lncRNA from 1 species